AUCUAGCUGACGAGUCUCAAAUAGGACGAAACCCGCUUUGUUUUGGAU
rnacentral:hammerhead_ribozyme from 1 species